CAGCUUCCUGCCAGUGCAGAGCCUGGGAGGCAGUGAUCGGGCUCUGUCACUCACCUGGGCGACCCAAAUUGCUUUCUUGACUUCGGCUCUGGCCCAGCCCUGGCCACUGUGGGCAUUUGGUGGAGCAUCUGUGGCCAUUCUGUUCGAGCACUGGAACAGGAGGGAGUGAACACUCUGUGGGCAACUCUUGGCCAAUGGACCCUGGAUCUAGUGAAUAAAAUGCUCCCUUUCUAGCUUUGAUCUAAGUGUCUCCCAAAAUUCAUGUGUUGGAACUCAACUGGCAAUGUGAUGGUUUGAAGAGGCAGGGCCUCUGGGACAUCAUUAAGUCAUAAGGACAGAGCCAUGGUGAGUGGGAUUAAGCCCUUUAUACAAGAAGCUUCGGGGCCGGCACUGUGGUGUAGCAGGUAAAGCUUCCGCCUGCAGUGCUGGCAUCCCAUAUGGGUGCCGGUUCAAGUCCUGGCUGCUCCACUUCCAAUACAGCUCUCUGCUCUGUGGCCUGGGAAAGCAGUAGAAGAUGGCCCAAGUCCUUGGACCCUUGCACCUGAGUGGGAGACCCGGAAGAAGCUCAAUGCUCCUGGCUUUGGAUCAACCCAGCUCCAGCAAUUGCAGUCAUUUGUGGCCAGUUAACCAGCAGAUGGAAAACCUCUCUCUCUCUCUGCCUCUCUGUAACCCUGUAUUUUUAAAUAAGUAAACAAAUCUUAAAGAAAUAAAAGAAGAAGCUUUGCCCA